rnacentral:misc_RNA from 1 species
GGGUAAGGGAUUUCAGGAGCAUGACCUGCGGCAGGACAUUAUCGAAUAAACUUGAACAGGCUGUUCUGGUCUCUUGGGAAUUGUGCACGCUUGUCAUCUUUAUCAUUUCUCCAACUGUGCACGUAUUUUGUAGACCUUGGAGGGGGGAAUGGAAUUCGUUCCGAGAGGGGAUUGCUGUGCCUUCAAAAAAAAAAAGAGUCGGAUUCCCUUUGAAAGGACUAUGUCAUUUUUUUCACGGGCAAUGUGGCUGGAAUUCAAAAAAAAAAAAAAAUUGAUAAAAAACAACUUUCGGCAACGGAUCUUUUGGCUCUCGCAUUACUUAAGAACGCAGCGAAAGGCGAUAAGUAAUGCGAAUGGCAGAAGUCCGGGAACCAUCAGAUGUUUGAACGAACUUUGCGCUCUUUGGAAUUCCGAGAAGCAUGGGUGUUUGAAAAAAUUUUUGAAAUCUUAAAGCCCCAAAUCUGGACGUUUUUUUUGGGCUGGGGGGCCUUUUGCCCCCCUUUUUAAAAAAAGGCCUGUUCCCCUGAAAUUGAUUAGGGGAACCUGGGGCGGAAACCGAAAGUGAUAAAAAAACAUUCCUCUAUCCCUUUGCAAAGAGCACGAAAGGGCCGCUUUCGAAACUGCUCAGCUCUAGACAAACUUGGCCUCAAAUCGGGAAGGCUUUCCCCGCUGAUCUUAUGCCUAUAAUGAGCGGGGGGAA